rnacentral:rRNA from 1 species
AUUGAACGCUGGCGGAAUGCUUUACACAUGCAAGUCGAACGGUAGAGGGGGCAACCCCUCGAGAGUGGCGAACGGGUGAGUAAUAUAUCGGAACGUGCCCAGUCGUGGGGGAUAACGUAGCGAAAGUUACGCUAAUACCGCAUACGAUCUAAGGAUGAAAGCGGGGGAUCGCAAGACCUCGCGCGAUUGGAGCGGCCGAUAUCAGAUUAGGUAGUUGGUGGGGUAAAGGCUCACCAAGCCAACGAUCUGUAGCGGGUCUGAGAGGACGACCAGCAACACUGGAACUGAGAAACGGUCCAGACUCCUACGGGAGGCAGCAGUGGGGAAUUUUGGACAAUGGACGCAAGUCUGAUCCAGCCAUUCCGCGUGCAGGAUGAAGGCCCUCGGGUUGUAAACUGUUUUUGUACGGAACGAAAAGGUCUCUCUUAAUACGGGGGGCUCAUGACGGUACCGUAAGAAUAAGCACCGGCUAACUACGUGCCAGCCGCCGCAGUAA